GACAGAGGCCUCGAGCGUUAGGCGGAAUCACUGGGCUUAAAGCGUGUGUAGGCGGAAGAGUAAGUACCUUGUGAAAUCCCACGGCUCACCCGUGGAACCGCUGGGUAUACUGCUCUUCUUGGGCCACUCAGGGGCGACUGGAACAAGCGGUGGAGCGGUGAAAUGCGUAGAUAUCGCUUGGAACGCCAAAGGUGAAAACAGGUCGCUGGGAGUGCGCCGACGCUGAGACACGAAAGCCAGGGGAGCAAACGGG
rnacentral:rRNA from 1 species